rnacentral:rRNA from 1 species
AGCGAACGCUGGCGGCAGGCCUAACACAUGCAAGUCGAACGAACUCUUCGGAGUUAGUGGCGGACGGGUGAGUAACACGUGGGAACGUGCCUUUAGGUUCGGAAUAACUCAGGGAAACUUGUGCUAAUACCGAAUGUGCCCUUCGGGGGAAAGAUUUAUCGCCUUUAGAGCGGCCCGCGUCUGACUAGCUAGUUGGUUGGGGUAAUGGCCCACCAAGGCGACGAUCAGUAGCUGGUCUGAGAGGAUGACCAGCCACAUUGGGACUGAGACACGGCCCAAACUCCUACGGGAGGCAGCAGUGGGGAAUCUUGCGCAAUGGGCGAAAGCCUGACGCAGCCAUGCCGCGUGUAUGAUGAAGGUCUUAGGAUUGUAAAAUACUUUCACCGGUGAAGAUAAUGACUGUAGCCGGAGAAGAAGCCCCGGCUAACUUCGUGCCAGCCGCCGCAGUAAAAC